UGGGGAAUAUUGCACAAUGGGCGAAAGCCUGAUGCAGCAACGCCGCGUGAGCGAAGAAGGUCUUCGGAUCGUAAAGCUCUGUCCUUGGGGAAGAUAAUGACGGUACCCUUGGAGGAAGCACCGGCUAAUUACGUGCCAGCAGCCGCGGUAACACGUAAGGUGCGAGCGUUGUUCGGAAUCAUUGGGCGUAAAGGGCAUGUAGGCGGUCUGUCAAGCCAGGCGUGAAAGCCAGGGGCUCAACCCCUGAACUGCGCUUGGAACUGGCGGACUGGAGUCGCUGAGGGGGAACCGGAAUUCCUGGUGUAGGGGUGAAAUCUGUAGAUAUCAGGAAGAACACCGAUGGCGAAGGCAGGUUUCCAGCAGACGACUGACGCUGAGGUGCGAAGGUGCGGGGAGCAAACAGGAUUAGAUACCCUGGUAGU
rnacentral:rRNA from 1 species